CUCAGCUGCACAAGAGGCCAGAGGCGGACAGUCCCAGCGAGGCCCCAGGCUGGGCCCCCCAGCCCAAGACCCCUAAGUCCCCAUUCCAGCUGGGCAGUCGCGUGCUGCCCUCCAGCAUGGAGAAGGAUGACAGGUCGGAGGAGCCCUCUCCCCAGUGGUUAAAGGAGCUAAAAUCCAAGAAGAGGCAAAGCCUGUAUGAGAACCAAGCUUGAGCAGACAGGGGACACUGCCACGUCUAACGAACUGAAGCCUUAACUGUCAGAGCCCGAAGAUGAGGCCACGCUGAUGCCGUUCCUUCCUGCAAAGGUCACCUGCCUGGGCCCUUCCGGUUGGGUGGAGAACACGGCCCGGUGCCUCCUGCCGCUCCAUGGGCUCUCCCCGGAUCGGGGCGCGAAGACCCACCGUCCUCAAGCACUCGCUCGUCUCCCCAGACAACACUUGAGGCUGAGGACACAGCCAGGCUGCCCAGAACUGUCCAUGCUUGUGGAUUUGUGUUUUAUAUGGAAAACGUGCAUUUCUACGCACCGUAGACAUCACUCCGGGAACAUCGGUUUGAGGCUGGACCAUCUCCCCGGGUUCUGGAAAACACCUGCAUUGUGAAGGCACCUCUUCCCCCAACACCAGUGCAGGUCCUUUUCAAAAGCCCACUUCCAAGGAAGAAGAAACUCCGUGUCCUGCUAGAAUUGUGGCCCAAAGCAGUGUCACUGGGCUGGGUUGUGAUUGCUUUCUUGGCAAGUUCCAUCUCCCUCCCUUUCCAAGAAUCAGCAGCUCCAAUUUUUUAAACAUACCCACCCUCAUUUCAAGUGUAUUUAUUCUCACCGUGGGGCUGUGUGCAGAGAUGACCUGUUCAUUAUACAUCACUUUGGUUUGCUUUAGAAGGCAUUCAAGCAAUAAUUCAGCCAAUUUUCUUUGAAAUUUGAUAUGCAUAUAUGUUUUUUAUGUCCAGAAGGAAAGAUAUGUGAAUAAUUUGCUCGAAGUAUCCAAUCAUCUCAGGUUAUCUUACCCCUUAUCCAUGCUUUUAAAAAAAAUUCCAGUUGUCACCUUCGUAUAUAUAUUUUCCUGGUUUCUUAUCAUUUGA